AGACUUCUGAGGCAGCGUAACAGUUUAAUGAUCUACAGCAAAAUAGAGCGAGCUUUGGUGAGAACUAAACAAAUAUUUAAUUAUUACAGUAGUAAUUUCUCGAUAGAAUUGAUAUCACAAUUGAAAUGUGUUGGUCAAAAUCGUACAUUUACACACAAACUGAGCAGCAAACGCAACUUUUAAACGCCAUCUUUAUUUUUCUAGUCACUGUCACAGAAUGGAAAGCGCAGGAUUGUGGGCUAUCAAAGGCAGCUAAGGAUACAUCCAUGCUUCCUUCAAAAAUCGAUCUGAACAAGAGACUGUGACUGACCUCAUUGCUAAUAGUGGAGUCCCUAUGGAUGAGUCUGAGGACGUGGCUGUCUAUACUGCUCCCUGACGACAACUUAGCAAAGAUGGCCGACUGCAUCUCUUUCUCCCGCUGCUUCACAAUGACCUCACAUGCCUUCCACUCCCGCAUCACCUGCUGAUACCUUGCUGUGAUCUUCUCAUCAAUCUACAAAACACACAAGGGCACAUCAGACAGUCCUAUUUAAGUGCAGCCCGCUGGAAGCUCGACGGAAGCGUUGCUGCCCCCGGUGGAGCAGGACAGACAAGAUGACAUAUGACUGGUGCACUCGCCCUGCUGCCAUGACAACGGGCUGCCGCCAAAACCCUGCAUCUCCAUCAU